UACAGAGGUCCCAAGCGUUGUUCGGAUUCACUGGGCGUAAAGGGUGCGUAGGUGGCCAGGUAAGUUCGGUGUGAAAGCUCGGAGCUUAACUCCGAAAUGUCAUUGAAUACUAUCUGGCUAGAGGGUCGGAGGGGAGACUGGAAUUCUCGGUGUAGCAGUGAAAUGCGUAGAUAUCGAGAGGAACACCAGUGGCGAAGGCGAGUCUCUGGACAACACCUGACGCUGAGGCACGAAAGCCAGGGGAGCAAACGGG
rnacentral:rRNA from 1 species